AGUGAACGCUGGCGGUAGGCCUAACACAUGCAAGUCGAACGGCAGCACAGUAAGAGCUUGCUCUUACGGGUGGCGAGUGGCGGACGGGUGAGGAAUACAUCGGAAUCUACUUUUUCGUGGGGGAUAACGGAGGGAAACUUACGCUAAUACCGCAUACGACCUACGGGUGAAAGCAGGGGAUCUUCGGACCUUGCGCGAUUGAAUGAGCCGAUGUCGGAUUAGCUAGUUGGCGGGGUAAAGGCCCACCAAGGCGACGAUCCGUAGCUGGUCUGAGAGGAUGAUCAGCCACACUGGAACUGAGACACGGUCCAGACUCCUACGGGAGGCAGCAGUGGGGAAUAUUGGACAAUGGGCGCAAGCCUGAUCCAGCCAUACCGCGUGGGUGAAGAAGGCCUUCGGGUUGUAAAGCCCUUUUGUUGGGAAAGAAAAGCAGCAGGUUAAUACCCCGCUGUUCUGACGGUACCCAAAGAACAAGCACCGGCUAACUUCGUG
rnacentral:rRNA from 1 species